AUCAAUCAUGUAAGUAGAUAAAUCAGGUAAAACAGCUAAUUUAUUUUUACUGUCAACAUGUAUUUCGCCGUCAUCAUUAUAUUGUUUGUAUCCUGUUCAGAAAGUAAAAAUUGGUGUAGAAGUAGCGUUUUCAUUGUCUACGCCUUUUUGAUCAUCAGCCGAAAUAACAUGUUUAUUAGUUCCAUUUAAAGUGAAAUUAGCAUUUGUUUUUCAGGCAUUUUCUCAAGGUGUUUCAAUUGUAUUAUUGUUAUUAACUACAUGAUUAUUAGUAAUAAAGUAAUAUUUGCCAUCUUGUUUAUCUUUAUUAACUUUACCAAGCAUUAAAGAAGAACCAUUAUUAAAGGCUAAAACUCGAUUGUUAACAUCUUUAAUUCUUUGAUCAUCAUAACUUAAAUGCAUAAAUUC
rnacentral:antisense_RNA from 1 species